rnacentral:rRNA from 1 species
UACAGGGGGUGCAAACGUUGCUCGGAAUCAUUGGGCGUAAAGCGCACGUAGGCGGUUCGUUAUGUCGGAUGUGAAAGCCCUUGGCUUAACCGAGGAAGUGCAUCCGAAACUGGCGAGCUAGAGUACUAAAGAGGAUCGCGGAAUUCCCGGUGUAGAGGUGAAAUUCGUAGAUAUCGGGAGGAACACCGGUGGCGAAGGCGGGUCUCUGGGCAGUAACUAGACGCUGAGGAGCGAAAGCGUGGGG